GCCCGGGUGGCCGAGCGGCGAGGCGGCGGCCUGCAGAGCCGCUUCACGCGGGUUCGAGUCCCGCCCCGGGCU
rnacentral:tRNA from 3 species